AAUAUUGCACAAUGGUCGAAAGCCUGAUGCAUCGACGCCGCGUGAGAGAAGAAGGUCUUCGGAUCGUAAAAUUCUGUCCUCGGUGAAGAAAGAAAUGACGGUAGCCAAGGAGGAAGCCCCGGGCAACUAUGUGCCAGCAGCCGCGGUAAUAAGUAGGGGGCUAGCGUGUUCCGGAUUUACUGGGCUUAAAGGGUGAGUAGGCGGUUACAUAAGUCAGAUGUAAAAGGCUAAGGCUUAACCAUAGUAUGCAUUUGAAACUGUGUGACUUGAGUACAGGAGAGGUAAGUGGAAUUCUUAGUGUAGCGGUGAAAUGCGUAGAUAUUAGGAGGAACACCAGUGGCGAAGGCGACUUACUGGACUGUAACUGACGCUGAGUCACGAAAGCGUGGGUAGCAAACAGG
rnacentral:rRNA from 1 species